UACGAAGGGGGCUAGCGUUGCUCGGAAUAACUGGGCGUAAAGGGCGCGUAGGCGGCUUGCACCGUCAGAUGUGAAAUUCCUGGGCUUAACCUGGGGGCUGCAUUUGAUACGUGUGGGCUUGAGUGCGGAAGAGGAUCGUGGAAUUCCCAGUGUAGAGGUGAAAUUCGUAGAUAUUGGGAAGAACACCAGUGGCGAAGGCGGCUAACUGGUCCAGCACUGACGCUGAGGUGCGAAAGCGUGGGGAGCAAACAGG
rnacentral:rRNA from 1 species